ensembl:lncRNA DLEU1 deleted in lymphocytic leukemia 1
AUGGCGGGCGCCCCUCCCCCAGCCUCGCUGCCGCCUUGCAGUUUGAUCUCGGACUGCUGUGCUAGCAAUCAGCGAGACUCCGUGGGCGUAGCACCCUCCGAGCCAGGUGCGGGAUAUAAUCUGGUGGUGCACCGUUUUUUAAGCUGGUCCGAAAAGCGCAGUAUUCGGGUGGGAGUGACCCGAUUUUCCAGGUGCUGCGUUGCCAUCUUUAAAGUCAUCCCACUGGACCACAUCAGUAUUGCAAGCUGCUUGGGUAUCAUUAAUGAAGACAAAGUGGGAUUAUUAUUUUCUAUGAUUUGGGCUUUUGUAUUCUCCACUGGUUGAAUGCAAAUGGAAGCCAGAGGAAAAGGGAACCCUUGACACAGUUUUCAUAUAGAUUGGCCUCCAGGGCAGACAGCAG